UACGGGGGGGCAAGCGUUGUUCGGAAUUACUGGGCGUAAAGGGCUCGUAGGCGCCAACUAAGUCAGACGUGAAAUCCCUCGGCUUAACCGGGGAACUGCGUCUGAUACUGGUUGGCUUGAAUCCGGGAGAGGGAUGUGGAAUUCCAGGUGUAGCGGUGAAAUGCGUAGAUAUCUGGAGGAACACCGGUGGCGAAGGCGGCAUCCUGGACCGGUAUUGGACGCUGAGGAGCGAAAGCCAGGGGAGCAAAGCGGG
rnacentral:rRNA from 1 species